rnacentral:rRNA from 1 species
UUAAUCGGAAUUACUGGGCGUAAAGCGCACGCAGGCGGUCUGUCAAGUCGGAUGUGAAAUCCCCGGGCUCAACCUGGGAACUGCAUCCGAAACUGGCAGGCUAGAGUCUUGUAGAGGGGGGUAGAAUUCCAGGUGUAGCGGUGAAAUGCGUAGAGAUCUGGAGGAAUACCGGUGGCGAAGGCGGCCCCCUGGACAAAGACUGACGCUCAGGUGCGAAAGCGUGGGGAGCAAACAGGAUUAGAUACCCUGGUAGUCCACGCCGUAAACGAUGUCGACUUGGAGGUUGUGCCCUUGAGGCGUGGCUUCCGGAGCUAACGCGUUAAGUCGACCGCCUGGGGAGUACGGCCGCAAGGUUAAAACUCAAAUGAAUUGACGGGGGCCCGCACAAGCGGUGGAGCAUGUGGUUUAAUUCGAUGCAACGCGAAGAACCUUACCUACUCUUGACAUCCAGAGAACUUAGCAGAGAUGCUUUGGUGCCUUCGGGAACUCUGAGACAGGUGCUGCAUGGCUGUCGUCAGCUCGUGUUGUGAAAUGUUGGGUUAAGUCCCGCAACGAGCGCAACCCUUAUCCUUUGUUGCCAGCGAUUCGGCCGGGAACUCAAAGGAGACUGCCAGUGAUAAACUGGAGGAAGGUGGGGAUGACGUCAAGUCAUCAUGGGAGAGCAAGCGGACCUCAUAAAGUGCGUCGUAGUCCGGAUUGGAGUCUGCAACUCGACUCCAUGAAGUCGGAAUCGCUAGUAAUCGUAGAUCAGAAUGCUACGGUGAAUACGUUCCCGGGCCUUGUACACACCGCCCG